CCUACGGGAGGCAGCAGUGAGGAAUAUUGGUCAAUGGACGAGAGUCUGAACCAGCCAAGUCGCGUGAAGGAAGACUGCUCUAUGGGUUGUAAACUUCUUUUAUAAAGGAAUAAAACGAGGCACGUGUGCCUUUUUGCAUGUACUUUACGAAUAAGGAUCGGCUAACUCCGUGCCAGCAGCCGCGGUAAUACGGAGGAUUCGAGCGUUAUCCGGAUUUAUUGGGUUUAAAGGGAGCGUAGAUGGGUUGUUAAGUCAGUUGUGAAAGUUUGCGGCUCAACCGUAAAAUUGCAAUUGAUACUGUCAGUCUUGAGUAUAGUUGAGGUAGGCGGAAUUCGUGGUGUAGCGGUGAAAUGCUUAGAUAUCACGAAGAACCCCGAUUGCGAAGGCAGCUUACUAAACUGUGACUGACAUUGAUGCUCGAAAGUGUGGGGAGCAAACAGGAUUAGAUACCCCUGUAGUC
rnacentral:rRNA from 1 species